GCUUGUUGGUGAGGUAAUGGCUCACCAAGGCGACGACGGGUAGCCGGCCUGAGAGGGUGACCCGGCCACACUGGGACUGAGACACGGCCCAGACUCCUACGGGAGGCAGCAGUGGGGAAUAUUGCACAAUGGGCGAAAGCCUGAUGCAGCGACGCCGCGUGAGGGAUGACGGCCUUCGGGUUGUAAACCUCUUUCAGUAGGGAAGAAGCGAAAGUGACGGUACCUGCAGAAGAAGCGCCGGCUAACUACGUGCCAGCAGCCGCGGUAAUACGUAGGGCGCAAGCGUUAUCCGGAAUUAUUGGGCGUAAAGAGCUCGUAGGCGGUUUGUCGCGUCUAUCGUGAAAGUCCGAGGCUCAACCUCGGAUCUGCGGUGGGUACGGGCAGACUAGAGUGAUGUAGGGGAGACUGGAAUUCCUGGUGUAGCGGUGAAAUGCGCAGAUAUCAGGAGGAACACCGAUGGCGAAGGCAGGUCUCUGGGCAUUAACUGACGCUGAGGAGCGAAAGCAUGGGGAGCGAACAGGAUUAGAUACCCUGGUAGUCCAUGCCGUAAACGUUGGGCACUAGGUGUGGGGGACAUUCCACGUUUUCCGCGCCGUAGCUAACGCAUUAAGUGCCCCGCCUGGGGAGUACGGCCGCAAGGCUAAAACUCAAAGGAAUUGACGGGGGCCCGCACAAGCGGCGGAGCAUGCGGAUUAAUUCGAUGCAACGCGAAGAACCUUACCAAGGCUUGACAUGUGCUAGAUCGCCAUAGAAAUAUGGUUUCCCCUUUGGGGCUGGUUCACAGGUGGUGCAUGGUUGUCGUCAGCUCGUGUCGUGAGAUGUUGGGUUAAGUCCCGCAACGAGCGCAACCCUCGUUCCAUGUUGCCAGCACGUAGUGGUGGGGACUCAUGGGAGACUGCCGGGGUCAACUCGGAGGAAGGUGGGGACGACGUCAAAUCAUCAUGCCCCUUAUGUCUUGGGCUUCACGCAUGCUACAAUGGCCGGUACAAUGGGUUGCGAUACUGUGAGGUGGAGCUAAUC
rnacentral:rRNA from 1 species